rfam:Beta vulgaris subsp. vulgaris Bvchr6.sca027.con0018.1, whole genome shotgun sequence.
UACAUCUGGUAAAAUUGGAAAUUUGGAACGAUACAAAGAAAAUUAGCAUGGCCUCUCCUCAAGGUUGACACGCACAAAUUAAAUCGAGAAAUGGUUCAGAGUUUU